rnacentral:rRNA from 1 species
CCUACGGGAUGCAGCAGUGGGGAAUAUUGGGCAAUGGGCGCAAGCCUGACCCAGCAACGCCGCGUGAAGGAAGAAGGCUUUCGGGUUGUAAACUUCUUUUAAGGGGGAAGAGCAGAAGACGGUACCCCUUGAAUAAGCAACGGCUAACUACGUGCCAGCAGCCGCGGUAAUACGUCGGUGGCAAGCGUUGUCCGGAUUUACUGGGUGUAAAGGGCGUGCAGCCGGAGAGACAAGUCAGUUGUGAAAUCCACGGGCUCAACCCGUGAACUGCAUUUGAAACUGUUUCCCUUGAGUGUCGGAGAGGUAAUCGGAAUGCCUUGUGUAGCGGUGAAAUGCGUAGAUAUAAGGAAGAACACCAGUGGCGAAGGCGGAUUACUGGACGAUAACUGACGGUGAGGCGCGAAAGCGUGGGGAGCAAACAGGAUUAGAUACCCUUGUAGUC